rnacentral:rRNA from 1 species
CCUACGGGAGGCAGCAGUGGGGAAUAUUGGGCAAUGGAGGAAACUCUGACCCAGCGACGCCGCGUGCGGGAUGAAGGCCUUCGGGUUGUAAACCGCUUUCAGUAGGGAAGAAGCGAAAGUGACGGUACCUACAAAAGAAGCACCGGCUAACUAUGUGCCAGCAGCCGCGGUAAUACAUAGGGUGCAAGCGUUGUCCGGAAUUAUUGGGCGUAAAGAGCUCGUAGGUCGUUUGUUACGUCGGAUGUGAAAACCUGAGGCUCAACCUCAGGCCUGCAUUCGAUACGGGCAAACUAGAGUUUGGUAGGGGAGACUGGAAUUCCUGGUGUAGCGGUGGAAUGCGCAGAUAUCAGGAGGAACACCAAUGGCGAAGGCAGGUCUCUGGGCCAAUACUGACACUGGGGAGCGAAAGUCUGGGGAGCGAACAGGAUUAGAUACCCUGGUAGUCCAGACCGUAAACGGUGGGCACUAGUUGUGGGAACCUUCCACGGUUUCUGCGACGCAGCUAACGCAUUAAGUGCCCCGCCUGGGGAGUACGAUCGCAAGAUUAAAACUCAAAAGGAAUUGACGG